AGAGUUUGAUUAUGGCUCAGGACGAACGCUGGCGGCGUGCCUAACACAUGCAAGUCGAACGGAGAUAUGUUUUGGAAGGGCUUCGGUCUGGAAGAGAUAUAUUUUAGUGGCGGACGGGUGAGUAACGCGUGGGCAAUCUGCCUUGUAGAAAGGGAUAACAGGCCGAAAGGCUUGCUAAUACCGGAUGAGCUUGUCUAAUCGCAUGAUAAGACAAGGAAAGGGGAAACCCGCUACAAGAUGAGCCUGCGUCCCAUUAGCUAGUUGGUGAGAUAACAGCCCACCAAGGCGACGAUGGGUAGCCGGCCUGAGAGGGUGACCGGCCACAUUGGAACUGAGAAACGGUCCAG
rnacentral:rRNA from 1 species